rnacentral:tRNA from 2 species
GGCCCCGUAGUUCAGUGGCAGAACAGCGGACUUUUAAUCCGCGUGGCGCAGGUUCGAAUCCUGCCGGGGUCA